AUUAUGCUUAUGUUUUUGAACAGUAAUAAAAUCUUUUAAUCAUCUGUUCUUAUCAGUUUAAUAUCUGAUAUGUCCCCCAUCGGGGGACUACAUAUUAAAUGGAUUUUUCGAACAGGGAGUCGGAAAUGGGGCUUGCCCCGUCCGCUCCACGCAUCGACCCGGUAUUGCAGUACCUCCGGGAACGGUGCAACACUU
rnacentral:snRNA from 1 species